GAUGAACGCUGGCGGCGUGCUUAACACAUGCAAGUCGAACGAGGAAUUUUAAAUGAGACUUCGGUGGAUUUUAAAAUUCUUAGUGGCGGACGGGUGAGUAACGCGUGGGCAACCUGCCCUGUACAGGGGGACAACAGCUGGAAACGGCUGCUAAUACCGCAUAAGCGCACAGCAUCGCAUGAUGCCGUGUGAAAAACUCCGGUGGUACAGGAUGGGCCCGCGUUGGAUUAGGUAGUUGGUGAGGUAACGG
rnacentral:rRNA from 1 species